GUGGUAUGGAUGUUUUCUGGAAUGACCCAAUGAUAGACUAGCUAACUACAAUAUAUUUAAACAUUACUCACUUUUCUUAUUUAGGUUGAAACUUUAAUGUGGACAAGAAUGAAACACAAGGUCUUUGGAUGUUCAAAUAGCUGGAGUAGUGGUGUACUGGCCAGGACCAGUAGUACCCCCUAGUAAGAGUACCCCUAGAAGUUUCAAGAUACUGAACAGCAGAGCAAAUGAGAUAUAGCCAAUGGAACAACAAAGUUAUUAGAACAGUUUAGACUUUAAAAUUAUUUAUUGUAAUUAAUUAUUAUUCUUUGAAAAAGUUAAAUUAAAUUACUUCAGCUGUGUUGUAAAUGUGGGAUAAUUUUGCAAAGAAAAAAGCAUGUGAAAUGACAAAGAGAAAUGCACAAAAAAUACUGAAUUUUAAGCCAAGGGCAAGGGUGCCUGAAGUACAGUAUGGCUUAACUCAGGGUGUCCCUUGUGUGUGGGGCAGGGGG